GGGCUCUUCUUCCGUAGGGGUAACCUGCGGAGGGAUCAUUACACAAAUAUGAAGGCGGGCUGGAACCUCUCGGGGUUACAGCCUUGCUGAAUUAUUCACCCUUGUCUUUUGCGUACUUCUUGUUUCCUUGGUGGGUUCGCCCACCACUAGGACAAACAUAAACCUUUUGUAAUUGCAAUCAGCGUCAGUAACAAAUUAAUAAUUACAACUUUCAACAACGGAUCUCUUGGUUCUGGCAUCGAUGAAGAACGCAGCGAAAUGCGAUAAGUAGUGUGAAUUGCAGAAUUCAGUGAAUCAUCGAAUCUUUGAACGCACAUUGCGCCCUUUGGUAUUCCAAAGGGCAUGCCUGUUCGAGCGUCAUUUGUACCCUCAAGCUUUGCUUGGUGUUGGGCGUCUUGUCUCUAGCUUUGCUGGAGACUCGCCUUAAAGUAAUUGGCAGCCGGCCUACUGGUUUCGGAGCGCAGCACAAGUCGCACUCUCUAUCAGCAAAGGUCUAGCAUCCAUUAAGCCUUUUUUUCAACUUUUGACCUCGGAUCAGGUAGGGAUACCCGCUGAACUUAAGCAUAUCAAUAAGCGGAGGAA
rnacentral:rRNA from 1 species